rnacentral:pre_miRNA from 1 species
AUUGAAAUCAUCUGGAGAUUUUGUUAAAAUCAGAUUUUGAUUGAGUAGACCUCAUGAUGGGGGCAAGACCUUGUAUUUCUAACUAGUUCCCAGGUGGUGCAGAU